rfam:Peptococcaceae bacterium 1109 scaffold00002, whole genome shotgun sequence.
AACAGAAUAGCACAGAGGCCGUAGACAGCAGGUGUACACUAGUACCGAAGGAGAGCAAUCUCGCCCGCCGAGGUCGGAGAAGAGUAGAGAUGACUGUGUUCGCUGCCGAACCAGUCAGCCUCCAUGUUCAGCUUAUUUGAGAUCUCCGCCCUGUCUGCGGAGGUCUUUUUUGUUGUAGAAA